rnacentral:tRNA from 1 species
GCCCCUAUAGCUCAGCUGGUAGAGCAACUGAUUUGUAAUCAGUAGGUCGUUCGUUCGAAUCGGACUGGGGGCACCA